rfam:Vigna radiata var. radiata cultivar VC1973A chromosome 11, whole genome shotgun sequence
CUGUCUCUCGGAGUUCCUCUGAACGCUUCAUCUGCAUAAUGGCCUUGCUAGUCUAAACUGGUACUCCUUAUAGGCCUAUGAAGUGUUUGGGGGAACUCUUGGAUUCAA